AAAUGGGCUUUCCAAGGAGGGGAAGAUGGAGGAAGCUAAUGGGUUGUUGGAAUUGAUGAGUCAGAGAGGUUUGCAGCCUGAUGCGGUGACAUUUACUACAAUGAUAAGUGGGCUUUGCACGGGUGGGAAGAUGGUGGAAGGCAAUUGGUUGUUGGAAUUGAUGAGUCAAAGAGGUUUGCAGCCUAUAAUCUGAUCUUCUAGUCUUGACCUUUAUAAGUACCCAUAGGCUGAUUUGGUAUCUUUAUAUGUUGCAACCUUCGAUCAUAAGUCUUGACAUAUAUAACCCUUUAUAUUAUGUUUUAAGUUUUUAGCUUAUUUCAAUUUCUUAUUGCUCACCUGAAUUCUGACUCCUCUAAUUAUAUUAACUCUUAUUUUUGCAAUGAGUUCUGAAUAUUCUGAGAGUAUAAUGCCAUGAGGGAAAGAUGGCAGUUGAUAGUUUUUUUUUCAAAUAUCUACCGCUAGGUGUUUAACGGUAUACUGCUUCUCCUAACCGUAUGGAAUAGAAAUUCUUCAUGUAAAACCUGCUUGAUUUAGAUUGGGAGAAUCCUAUGGUUUUAUGAAAGCAUGUGCUAUGGUUCGAAUCCGUACUCAAUCCUAUUUAUAGGAGCAGUUGACAAUUGAAUCCAAUUUUUCCAUUAAUUUCGUAUCCGUAAUAGUGCGAAAGGAAGGCUUGUCUCCGAGUUGUUCAAGAAUAGUGGCGUUGAGUUUAUUAUUUCACUGAUUGCUGAUGGGGGACAAAGGCUUCAUUGACUUCGUUGCUCAUUUGCUUGAAGUGAAUCUUAGGACAUGCCUUUCUGCAGCUGAGGCUCUGAAGCACCCAUGGCAAUCAUAGCCUUAGAAGUUUCAACCCAUAUCAGCUCACACAAUCUGUUUUCACUCAAAUUAAAUUCAUGUUGUUGGUGACAUAUGAAGUAUGAUUUUCCUUUCUCAUGCAUAGUUGUAUUUCAGUUUUCAAUUAUCAAGAAUUUAAAUUUGCACGUAUCAUGUAUUUCAAGGAUUCAUUCCUCGCUUUGUUUUAUAAGGUAGUAUCGGAAUCUCAUUACAGUCUUGUUGUACAUCAGGAGAAUUCUUCUCUCUUGUUUGAGGAAAUAUACUUUCAGUA